UUCCCCUCAGUGCUGACCAGAUCUGUGGUCACUGCCUGGGAUACAGGAAGGCUUCCAUAGGCCUGGAUCGGAUGUCUGCUCUCUCUUGAGUUCAUCUGACUGCAGAGUUACAUACCCACCGACGGCAUUCGCAGCUCCCUUUGUGGCGAUAAGAUGACAGGGUCUAGAACUUGCUAGUGGGGGGCUCCUGUGGGCCAGCCCACAGGGGUGGGUCCGUUCCUUCCUGGCAGUCUGAAUCUGGAACAAACCGUGUCAAUAAAAGUUCAUCGGAUAAAGGAGAGAGAUAGUCACAAGUACAAAGAACAGACGAUGGAUGAAAAGAGAGGAAGCAGUGAGGACGGAGGCAGGAGAAGAGGAAUGAAACCCAGACUCAUCUCAGAGCACGCUCCCCAGGCACCCACUGUGGUACCCAUUUUAUAGCUGUGGACACUGAGGCCAGAGGAGUCCAAGGCAAUUACCCCAAAACCACACGCAUGUGAGACCCUGUGACAUGUGCCUUAGUCUUUGAACGACUUGUGGGCAUUUUCAUGCAACUAGCUAUCUCUUCCCCCAUCCCUGUGCCUCUGAGUUUUCCAACACUUCCAAUUCACAAAUACAGGUAAUGUUUUCUCUUUAUGAAAGCAGUGUGUGCUUGUUUUAAAGAACUAGGAAACUGAAGAAAAACAUUUAAAGCAGCAGAUAUAAUUUCCAUGAAUCCCAUCACCCCAGGACAACCCCUGUUAAAACUGUUACAUUUUCUAGCCUUUUCUCUGUGUUUGCAUUUAUUGCCUAAGUGGUUAGCAGUAGAUUGUUGAUGCCGUUUUAAAUCCUGCUUUUUUUUUUUAAAGAAGAAGCUUUUAUUUUAUUUUUUAAAGUUUAUCUUGAGAGAGAGAGAGACAGAGAGAGAGAGACAGAGAGAGAGAGAGAGAGAGAGAGAGAGGGAGAGAGAGAGAGACAGAGAGAGAGAGAAUCCCAAGCAGGCUCUCAACUGUCCGUGGAGAGUCUGAUGCGGGGCUCGAACCCACGAACCAUGAGAUCAUGUUCUGAG
rnacentral:lncRNA from 1 species